rnacentral:rRNA from 1 species
GACGAACGCUGGCGGCGUGCUUAACACAUGCAAGUCGAACGGAAAGGCCCUGCUUUUGUGGGGUGCUCGAGUGGCGAACGGGUGAGUAACACGUGAGUAACCUGCCCUUGACUUUGGGAUAACUUCAGGAAACUGGGGCUAAUACCGGAUAGGAGCUCCUGCUGCAUGGUGGGGGUUGGAAAGUUUCGGCGGUUGGGGAUGGACUCGCGGCUUAUCAGCUUGUUGGUGGGGUAGUGGCUUACCAAGGCUUUGACGGGUAGCCGGCCUGAGAGGGUGACCGGCGACAUUGGGACUGAGAUACGGCCCAGAAUCCUACGGGAGGCAGCAGUAGGGAAUAUUGCACAAUGGGCGGAAGCCUGAUGCAGCAACGCCGCGUGCGGGAUGACGGCCUUCGGGUUGUAAACCGCUUUCGCCGGUGACGAAGCGUGAGUGACGGUAAUGGGUAAAGAAGCAACGGCUAACUACGUG